UACGUAGGUGGCAAGCGUUGUCCGGAUUUAUUGGGUUUAAAGGGUGCGUAGGCGGCCCUGUAAGUCAGUGGUGAAAUAUCUCAGCUUAACUGAGAGGGUGCCAUUGAUACUGCUAGGCUUGAGUAUAGUUGAGGUAGGCGGAAUUGACAGUGUAGCGGUGAAAUGCAUAGAUAUUGUCAAGAACACCAAUUGCGAAGGCAGCUUACUAAAGUAUAACUGACGCUGAGGCACGAAAGUGCGGGGAUCAAACAGG
rnacentral:rRNA from 1 species